ACUGAAUAGAUACCCGGGUAGUCCUGGCCCUAAACGUUGCUCGCUCGCUCUACGGAGUAUCGACCCUCUGUGGGGCUAAAGCUAAACGCGGUAAGCGAGCCGCCUGGGUAGUACGAGCGCAAGCUUAAAACUCAAAGGAAUAGACGGGGACUCGCACAAGCGGUGGAUCAUGUGGCUUAAUUCGUAGCUAAGCGAAGAACCUUACCAGGGCUAGAAACCAAGCUGCACGCCUCCAGAAACGGAGGAAGCCUUCGAGGGUGCUUGGCAGGUGAUGCAUGGUUGUCGUCAGUUCGUGGCUUGAGCUGUUCCCUUCAGUGGGGUAACGAACGCAACCCUCGUUGUCUGUUACUUAUGUCAGGCGAGACUGCCCCCUCACGGGGGAGGAAGGUGAGGAUGACGCCAAAUCAGCAUGUCCCUUGAUGCCCUGGGCUGCACACGUGAUACAAUGGGUGGUACAGAAGGACGCAAUACCGCAAGGUGGAGCAAAUCCCAAAAACCACCCCGAGUACGGAUUGAGGUCUGCAACCGACCUCAUGAA
rnacentral:rRNA from 1 species